AAUCUCUGUAUUUUAUCAGAAUGUGUUCAGGCCUGAAGAAUGACAUUUUACACAGUAGAAAGCUCUGAGGUUCAGGAUUCAGCCAUGGCAGAGUUUGGUGCAGAAAUGGAAAACGUGGCAUUUCCAGGAGAGCACUGGGAGCAGGACAUGAGGGCUUGGUUACAGUCAUUAACUGCAGCUUGAUUAGAAGAGAACAGAAAUGCAGAUUACAGUGGAAGUGUGGUGUGACACAGUGCAAGAAUGCCUGCAGAAGUGCAGAUGUACAAAACUGAGCAGAGUUCCUCAGAACUUGCAUGCCAAUGCAAGAAAACACAAGUUAAUCUCCAAAGGCAUGCACCAGGGAUUGCCACAGUGCUGCAGCCAUCAGGGGAUGGAUUUGCAGAAGCCUCACUAAGAAUACCAAAGAAAACAGGAAUUACAAUAGGAAGAUAAUGACUUUUACCAUGCUUUACACCAGGUUGUGCAGCCCUGCAACACCCCCAGCCACAGAGAAAGCAGCUGGGAGGUGGAGGAGCAGCAGAUCCUGCAGAGGGAAGACUCUCACAGCAGUGUCACCCUGUGCUGUGGCAGCCCAGGAGACUUCUUGGGCUGGAGGAUGUUCUUUCCAAGAGGGCAGCAGACAAAAUCCUUGCUGGGACUGAGUCUCUUUGGGAAGGCCUGUUGGUUUAUUUGGGUUUGGACUUCCUUCCUUGCAGGUACAGUGGGCUUUGGGUGGAGUUAAGUGACUUUCCCUAAGGCAUCAGAGUUGGCAGGGAGGAAAACUCCAGAGCUGAGGCAGGCUUUAGUGGCUCCCAGCUUGUGCUGUCACCCAGCAGCCCUGCUCUCAGCACUCCCAAGCUCUACAGAGCUCCUGGCUGGCACCAGGGGCAGAGGUGACAUUUGGGGGGCUGUGGGUGGCCAUGGGGCUCGCAGAGAGCCCCCCACAGCCCAGCAGAGCUGCCAGGGCAGGUCAGAGUGCCCACAGCACUGGUGUGUCCUCCCACACAGCAGGCAAACAAGUUCUGUGUGAAUGCACAUCUCAGCAGCCACCAGAGCAGAUUACUGCCAAAAUCCCUCUGUCAAUUUAGCAGCAAAUCUGAACACCAGCAACUUCCCUGGCAUGGGGAUAAUGGAGACAGGAAAAUGCUGAUUUCAUGAUGCUGCCGUGAGCUAAAGGAAAAUAAGU
rnacentral:lncRNA from 1 species